UACGUAGGGUGCAAGCGUUAAUCGGAAUUACUGGGCGUAAAGCGUGCGCAGGCGGUUUUUGUAAGUUUGUCGUGAAAGCCCCCGGGCUCAACCUGGGAAUUGCGAUGAAGACUGCAAGGCUUGAAUCUGGCAGAGGGGGGUAGAAUUCCACGUGUAGCAGUGAAAUGCGUAGAGAUGUGGAGGAACACCGAUGGCGAAGGCAGCCCCCUGGGUCAAGAUUGACGCUCAUGCACGAAAGCGUGGGGAGCAAACAGG
rnacentral:rRNA from 1 species